rnacentral:lncRNA from 1 species
GAGGAUGGAAACUUUCAAGUUGUUCAUAAUGUUUUUAAAACUUUUAGGUAAUUUUAUUGGAGGGAUUUUCUUUUGUGAGAAUAGGUGGUAUCGGAAAGAAAGUCAUUGUCUGAACAAGAUUUAUGAAAAUGUUUUCGUCAUUAUAAAAAUCACGGUAAAAUCCUACUCAAACAUGUUUUUUUCUAUUGUUGAUUUUUAUUGAUAUUUGUUGUUGUGUAUAUAAUGUUUAGUUUUAGCGAAUACCUUUUCUUUUAUACUUGGGAGAUGUUUGAAUUUUGUCAGAUCUGAGAUUUGAGUAUUUGACAUACAUUGCAGGUAAAUUAUUUGGGAAUCGGUUGAUAGAAUAUAAUAUUGAAAGCAUUGACUACAAAUCGAGUAACUUAGUUCAAAAUUAGUCGAUCAAACUCAGAUCUAACUAGAGUAUGAAUUGCAGGAUCCACCAUUAGAAUUAAUUUCAAACAAUCGUAAUGUUCAUCUCCAGAUUCACUCACUAUUGUUAUUAUUUUCUUUGGUGUUUAUUACAUUGUUUAGUUGUAAACAUAAAAGUGGCAAAAUCGAAAACAUCAGAAUAAUUACUAGAUGAAAAACAAAAGAGGUGAAACAGAGAUGGCUAAAAUUAGAACACUUAACCUUGUUUGGAAAAAGAAAAAGAAAAUUGUUUUGGAUUUGAAUAAUUCUUUUUUUUUUUUCCUUUUGUUUAUGCUAAUAGGUAUCAACAAAUUUAUAACUUUCCUCAAUGGAUUUCAAACUUUACAUCUUUUCAACUAUUUAAAGCCGAAAGAUUCUAAUAAAUUAACAAAAUACAAAAAAAGAAAAAGUAAUUAAUGAUUCCAAAAAAAAUUAAUUUGGUUCAAAUAAUAGAGAAAUACACUUCUUUCAUUAUUUUGAAGGCCAGACCAGGUAGAUUGUGGUAAGAUUUUAAUAACCUUAAUCUUUAGUUUACAUUUUAUAGUAUUCAUCUCCCUUUCACUUGUAAAAGACCAUCAUAUCUAACUUUAAUUUCAUUGUAUUCAUUCUUCUUUCAAUUUUAUAAACCAGUUGGCGAAGUUAGUUCUUUGGAUUCUUAGAAGAAAACAUUUAUGAGCUUCGGAGGAGUAACGUUCGAAGUGCAUAAAGUUUUUGCUUCGAGAAAAGAAGGCGAAACAUGGAUGUUGCAACAA